GGCCCCAAAACAGAAAGGAAAGCUCACCACCAGAAUGUGCCUUUUCCUUAUCAAAAAGAAUUGCUGCCCCUUACAGGACAGGAGGACUCCAAUUGUGACCAAGUUGGAGCAGCCUUGAGCCACAACUCAGACUUAUUUUCAUUCUCUGCUCAUUGGCCAUUAGGAACCCGAUCCUUAUGACCUGCAGUGACCUGCUGCUACCAGAACUGACUCGCUUCAAAGUGACGGAUGAAACCCAUAUGGAGAUAUUCCUGGGGUGGGUAGGCCAGUUGGAAGACAGAGUGUUUACACCUGAGAGAGGACUUGAGAAUUUUACUCAGUCACGUUGCUCACUGCUGCGCACUCCUGCAGACGCAUCCCAGUGGACUCUGCGCUGCAUCCCCAGAGUACAGCGAGUUUCCCGCCUCCCGUUAGAGAUCCAACACAUAUUUUUUUUGAAAGAAGAAACUGAUGGAAGACAGGAAGCAAAAAGGAGAGGAAGGAAAGGGAUAGGAAGGAGGGGAAGGAAAGGGAAAGGAAGGAAAAGAAAGGAAAGUGAACUUGAAAUCCUACAAGGUCUCAAAGUCAAAAAACAUGAUUGCUGUUUUAGAGAAUUGAAGAUCCUUCAUCUUCAAGAAUCUGAAAUCUACCAUGAUCUUCACAUGUAGCCAAACACAAUGGGAUGUAGUCAUUUAAGAGUGCUGUGAAGGCAGUGAAAAGCAGUUGAAAUACCAUUAGUUAACAGAUUGCCCAAUGAAGUCGAUGACAACUGUGAUAACAAGUUACUCACUAUCACAGCGUCUCCAAGAGAUGAACAGUGGAUGAUGCUUCCAAAGCACAGAUGUCCCUCUCCUCCUCAACCUUCUCUCCCCAGAAAGAUGUCAACACUGUGGAGAUUGUGCUAUGAAGAUACCUGCACCCAGUUCCGGAUUUCACACCAAGCCUUUGCUGAGGAUAUGAGAGUAAUAAAAAGGGGAGCCCUGGUUCUUCCUCUCCUUUAGUGUCUUUCCUGGAAGUGGACUGCGAGAAGAGCUUCUUCAGCCACCUUCUGCCUGCAGACAACCUCCAUGAGUUUGCUUUAGAAGAAGGCUUCAAUUUGAAGAAAGUCAAAUAAAACAAGGUCAUUGUGUUUGCAAUUGAUCCUUGGAGACAGCGACAUCUGCGAAGCUUCCAAGCCACGGUGGUUCCACCUUCACAAGUAUCCUUCAAAGGCAUCCUGCAACCACCCCAUCCAUCCAAGUACUCCGUUGUAGGAUUCAAAAGCAAAUUGCAGGGUUUGCUGCCUGGCAGAGAAGCAUAGACACAAAGCAUGAGAGAGCAAAACCUAUGAGUUGACCAUAUCAUAAACACAAAUAGAUAUAUGCAGAAUACCAGCUAAAAAAUAGGCAAUAAACUUAAACAAUAGGACUAUGAGUAGACAUAGCAAGUGCUGGGUAGAGAUGACAGUUUUGUGUCCUGUUAGAGCUAAGUCAGAAAUCUGGGUCGAAGUGAAUGUGAGGGAGGAAAAGGCCAUUACAAUAUUUAAGAAGCAGCUCCAAUAUUUUUAAAACGUGAAGGAAAACUUGCAAGCAAUCUCUAGGGCUGGAGGGAGAGAAAUGCAAAGCCCUCUCAGCCUGCUCCACCAUUAUCUUUUGCAUUCCAAUAACUGACAUGCUGCUGAAUGUUAUGACUAUUUGUUUAUUGUUGACUGUUCUUGGCACUGCUCAGUGUAGCCAAAGAUUCCUUGCCUACAAGAAAGUCUUGCUCAGACAAUAAACCACGGAGAAAGAAAA
rnacentral:lncRNA from 1 species